UGGAUGGUGGCGAAAAUGGAAAACGCAGAAUGGGACCGUGACAAAUAUCGGGUUAUGACCGAGGCGAAUCUGUUUCUUUUAACCACUAAGAGAAACUUGCAGGUUCAAAUCCUGCCCAUCCAA
rnacentral:tRNA from 1 species